UGGGGAAUAUUGCACAAUGGGCGCAAGCCUGAUGCAGCCAUGCCGCGUGUAUGAAGAAGGCCUUCGGGUUGUAAAGUACUUUCAGUCGGGAGGAAGGUGGUAAGGUUAAUAACCUUAUCAAUUGACGUUACCGACAGAAGAAGCACCGGCUAACUCCGUGCCAGCAGCCGCGGUAAUACGGAGGGUGCAAGCGUUAAUCGGAAUUACUGGGCGUAAAGCGCACGCAGGCGGGUUGUUAAGUCAGAUGUGAAAUCCCCGGGCUCAACCUGGGAACUGCAUCUGAUACUGGCAAGCUUGAGUCUCGUAGAGGGGGGUAGAAUUCCAGGUGUAGCGGUGAAAUGCGUAGAGAUCUGGAGGAAUACCGGUGGCGAAGGCGGCCCCCUGGACGAAGACUGACGCUCAGGUGCGAAAGCGUGGGGAGCAAACAGG
rnacentral:rRNA from 1 species